CGGAUGCCAUCAUACUAGCACUAAAGCACCGGAACCCAUCAGAACUCCGAAGUUAAGCGUGCUUGGGCGAGAGUAGUACUAGGAUUGGUGACCUCUUGGGAAGUCCUCGUGUUGCAUCCCUC
rnacentral:rRNA from 1 species